UACGGAGGGUGCAAGCGUUGUCCGGAUUUAUUGGGCUUAAAGGGUGCGUAGGCGGUUCUUUAAGUCCGGGGUGAAAGCCCACUGCUCAACAGUGGAACUGCCCUGGAAACUGGAGAACUUGAGUACAGACGAGGGCGGCGGAAUGGAUGGUGUAGCGGUGAAAUGCAUAGAUACCAUCCAGAACCCCGAUUGCGAAGGCAGCUGCCUAGACUGUAACUGACGCUGAGGCACGAAAGCGUGGGGAGCGAACAGG
rnacentral:rRNA from 1 species